AAGUGGUUGGAUUCCUUUUGAACUAGAGACAAUUUGAUACAAUUUGAAUUGGCUUAACCCUACUACACUUACCGAACUAGACAGCGGUGUAGUGGGGGUAAAUUCUCCGCAUUCGGUGCGG
rfam:Human echovirus 7 strain TMMC polyprotein gene, complete cds.